AUAUUAAAAAAACCUGGAUUCACAAAUCAGCCUCUACUUUAAAAAAAAUAAUUGCGUUCUGCGUCUCUGAUUAAGGACCGUCGAAAAUGAAUUCUCUAACAGAGUUUGAUAUCUAAAAUGUAAUCUAUUUUCGAGAUCGAAACCCCGAAUAUAGCCGAACGAAGAAACUCGGGAACAACUCGCUUAGGUUUGAGGAAUAAUAAAAUUGAGCUCAAGGUUCUCUUGCAAUUUAACCAGCUUUCGAUGAAGUAGAUUGUGAACAAUUGUGCAGCAAACAGAAUUAUAGUAGACUAUACUAGUGAAGUUGACCAUAGUAAAACACGGUGAUUUUUUAUAAAGAAAAAGAACAGUUCGGGCCAAUUACAUGGCGGUUGUGCCUAUGGUGUCAUUGUGAAAGAAAAGCACGUGGCUCAAAACCAUCUUGUGUCGCACCCGAAAACGUAAUUUGG